rnacentral:rRNA from 1 species
GCUGGCAGCCAUAUCACCCUGUAGCCCAAGACUGGUUACCCACUGAAGCUAAGCAGGGCUGAGCCUGGUCAGUACCUGGAUGGGAGUCCUUUGGAUGAGACGUUAAACCAAGGUCCUGACUCUC